rnacentral:rRNA from 1 species
GUUCAACCGAAGAAGUGCAUCGGAAACUGGGAAACUUGAGUGCAGAAGAGGACAGUGGAACUCCAUGUGUAGCGGUGAAAUGCGUAGAUAUAUGGAAGAACACCAGUGGCGAAGGCGGCUGUCUGGUCUGUAACUGACGCUGAGGCUCGAAAGUAUGGGUAGCAAACAGGAUUAGAUACCCUGGUAGUCCAUACCGUAAACGAUGAAUGCUAAGUGUUGGAGGGUUUCCGCCCUUCAGUGCUGCAGCUAACGCAUUAAGCAUUCCGCCUGGGGAGUACGGCCGCAAGGCUGAAACUCAAAGGAAUUGACGGGGGCCCGCACAAGCGGUGGAGCAUGUGGUUUAAUUCGAAGCUACGCGAAGAACCUUACCAGGUCUUGACAUACUAUGCAAAUCUAAGAGAUUAGACGUUCCCUUCGGGGACAUGGAUACAGGUGGUGCAUGGUUGUCGUCAGCUCGUGUCGUGAGAUGUUGGGUUAAGUCCCGCAACGAGCGCAACCCUUAUUAUCAGUUGCCAGCAUUAAGUUGGGCACUCUGGUGAGACUGCCGGUGGCAAACCGGAGGAAGGUGGGGAUGACGUCAAAUCAUCAUGCCCCUUAUGACCUGGGCUACACACGUGCUACAAUGGAUGGUACAACG